AGCAAACUAUUUCUCCUGAUCCUUGAGAAAAUAAAUUUUUAACACAUUUGCCAUAUCUCUCAUUGCAUUCUAGGUACCAGUGACGGAAUUCAUGUGCUCCGGUAAAGGUAGAGAGACAGAUUCCUGUCACUUCCUACUCUGCUAUCUUCUUGAUGUCACUCUUGAGAUUGAGUCUUCACAAGAUAGUACCUGUCCUCCUAGGAUUUACUGCCACCACCUCUCAAGGAUUCUAUGACAAUGAAUGUAAAUAGAAUCAAAUCUCAACAUGGUUCCUGCUGUAGUUCCCCAAGGAAUUGUUCACAGCAGCUUCAGGACCUGGCUAAUAUGUCCAAGGAGAACAUGUCUGGGAAUGGAUCUUGAGGGAGCAUUGGGACUUGUGGGGAAAAGAUUGGGAAAGGAGGAGCAAUGAUUCGGAGACACUGUCCCAUGACUCAGAAUUUAGCGUCCUGGCAAGGACAUCUGGAGCUGAUGCUUGGAAAAAUGAUGGUCUUUAGUAAAUGAGGUGGGGAUGCCAGAACUUCCUCAGCAGAGUAUUGAAGAAUGAGUCAAAAGGCACGUGGAGAAAGUUUGCUGACCUCUACUCUGGAACAUCAGGCUGCUCCCUAUGUUGGUGAAUCACGUUUGUCAGAGCUGGGGAGCAGAAGUGGUGAGUACGUUGGGUGCCUCAGUAAGACUCAUGAAUUCCAGAGGAUGGAAGAUAGACCUAGAAAAGAUUCAGGGGCCUGCCACAUUGGUGGAGUUUUUGGAGGUCUGGUGGUCUGGGCAUGCUGAGGCAUCCUUUUCAAGAUAAAGCCAUUAACUUAUUCAAGCUUGCACCUCCUACCUCUAAGAGACAGGCACAGCACUUGGUUAGGCCUCUUCUAUUUCACACACAGCAGAUUCACUCAUGAGAAUACCACUAGAUCCAUUUAUCAGGUGACUUGAAAGGCCGCCAGUUUUGAGGUGGGCCUCAAAGAUCAAGAGGAGGCUUUGCAGUGAGUUCUAGCUGCCAUACAAGCAGCUAGCUGCCUUGGGCCAUGUGACUAAUGCAUUGGACAUCAUGGUGCUGGAGGUAUCCAUGUAGCUAAGUCUUCUACCUGCAUUGAGAAGCAAUGGUUGCCUGGCUACAUGGUGUGGGGAAGGCUUCUCCAGGGGCCUGCUGGAGGGGGAUUUCCCCUUUUUUAGGGGAAAGGAUCUCUGUUGGGUAUGGGGUACCAACAAGGGCUAAGAUGUGAAGUGUAAGUAAAGGGCACAUUGUAUUACCAUUUUGACCUGGUGGAUGUUUUGAGUCUGUUCAUAAAUACAAAUAUUCAAUAAAUAUCAUGCAUAUAUCAAGUUUUCUCAUCAAGAAAUUAUUAUUAUUGAGACAGGGUCUCCCUCUAUUGCCCAGGCUGGUGUGCAGUGGCAUGAUCAUGGCUCACUGCAGCCUCGACCUCCCUGGGCUCAAUUGAUCCUCCCACCUCAGCCUCCCAAGUAGCUAGGACCACAGAUGUGCACCACCACACCUGGCUUGGCUUUGCUUUGCUUUGCUUUCCUGUUUUUUUGAGACGGAGUUUCUGUCUUGUCACCCAGGCUGGAGUGUAAUGGCAUGAUCAUGACUCACUGCAGCCUCGACCUCCCUGGGCUCAAUUUAUCCUCACACCUCAGCCUCCCAAGUAGCUAGAACCACAGGUGUGCACCACCACACCUGGCUUAUUUUUCUUUCCUUUUUUUUUUUUUUUUGCAGGGUGGGGGAGGGGCAGAGUUUCCUCUUGUUGCCUGGGCUGGAGUGCAAUGGUGUGAUCUCGGCUCAUUGCAACCUCUGCCCCCCGGGUUCAAGUGAUUCUCCUGCCUCAGCCUCCCGAGUAGCUGGGAUUACAGGUCCCAGCCACCAUGCCUGGCUAAUUUUUGUAUUUUUAGCAGAGACCAUGUUGGUGAGGCUGGUCUCGAACUCCUGACCUCAGGUGCUUCGCCCACCUUGGCCUCCCAAAGUGCUGAGAUUACAGGCUACAGGCAUGAGCCAUGGCACCUGGCCUUAUUUUUCUCUUCCUUUUUAUUUAUUUGCAUUUUUUGUAGAGAUGGGGUUUUGCCAUGUUGUCCAGGCUGGUCUUGAACUCCUGGGCUCAAGCAAUCUUCCUGCCUUGGAUUCCCGAAGUGCUGGGAUUACAGGCAUGAGUCACUGCACCUAGCCAAGAAAGUGUUUUCUAAUGCUAACUCUUGUUUGGAGAUUUGCUCAAAUCAAGGUGACUUCCCUAUCUGUCAGAAUUUUAAGAUUCGUUUAAUGACUGUGUUACCUUCUCCAGAGAGGGAUAAGGAAUUGGGCCAUGUGGUCAUGAAGUUUGAGAAGUCUCAAGAUUUACAAGUUGGAGACCGUGGAGAGCUGAUGAUGUGUUGCCGCAUGAGUCCGAAGGACCGAGCAUUAGGAGAGCCGAUGGUCUAAUUUCCAGUUUGAGUCCAAGUCUAAAGGCAGGAAAAGACCAACGUCCCAAUGACCAUCAGGGAGAGCCAGUGAAUUCUCUCUUACCCUGUCUUUUGUUCUAGUCAGGCCUUCAAUGGCUUGGAUAAGACCCACCCACAUUGGGGAGGGCACUCUCCUUCAUUCAGUCCACUACUGUAAAUGCUAAUCUCAUCCAGAAAUAUCUGGAAACCCUGUGGCCCAGUCAAGUUGAUAUAGAAAAUUAACCAUUACAAUGACAACGAGACAGAAACUGCAGGACACAAAGAGAGACUGGCUUCUGUCUUAUCACGUGCCAUGCCCAGACAAACUUGGGUUACAGAAGUUUUGUCAGAUAAUUUGUUUAUGGCUAUGUGCCAACAUUUAAUUACAAUCUUGUAUACUGGGAAAAGAUCUCUAAUAGGCCAGUUCAAAGGUUUGCUCUAGAUAGGGACAUUUCAUGGGAAAGGUGAGUUAUUAGGGCAACAGUCCACAGAGCAUGGUCCCUGGGCCAGCAACAUGAGCCUCAUCUGGAAACUCGCUAGAAAUACACUCUCAGACCCCACCCUAUCCCUACUGAAUAAAAAAACUCUGGCGUAGGGACCAGAAAUCUGUGUUUUAACAAGCUCUGCAGGUGAUUCUGUUACAUGCCACAGUUUGAUAACUACUGGUCUUGGUAAUAAUUGUUACGCUAAAUGUUUAAAGAAAAAGUCUGGUUCAACGUCACCAGCUUCCUAACCAUCAGCAGUCAACCAAGAGGUGGAGGUUAGUAGGUAACUAGCUUAUCAGAGCAAGUCGUAAUCAAAGAGUCCAUGAAGCAGUUUUUUGUUUUGUUUUGUUUUGUUUCAGAAAUAGUAAUGUCUCUCUAGAAGGAGGUUGUGAAUUACAGGACAUGGCUUGGAUUUUUAUUUUAGAUGUUACCAGCAUUGCCUUCAUUGCUUCUGCUGGAAGGUGGAAAUCUUCAAGGGUCUAAGUAAUUCUUAGACCAAUGAAGGGUCAAGGCUGGCCUUUUACAAAUAACGGAGAAAGAGGGUGUCCAUAGCCUACAGAACUUUCUCUCAGAACUUCUAGGUCAGUGCUGUUCUGCGGGAAUCUAAUAUGAGCCACAUAUGUAAUUUAAAAAUUUCUAUUAAUCACACAAGAGUAAAAAAAACAGGUGAAAUGAAUUGUAAUAUGUUUUAUUUAACUUACCUUACUAAAAAUAUUUUCCAUUUAACAUACAAUAUGAAAUUCAUUAACAGAUAGUCACAUUUUUAAACGCCAUAUCUUCAAAAUCUGGUGUUUGACAGCACAUUUCAGUUCAAACUAGCUACGUUGCAAGGAUUUAAUAGCCCUAUGUGGCUAGUGACUGUUGUAUGGAACAUUUUCGUUCUAGACCCUCUACUCCUGCAACUGGAGGGGAAGACCUGGUACUUUUAUUUAUUUAUUUACUUUUUCAUUAAAUAACUAAGGACAGAAGUUGUGGCUUGAUGAUGUAAUUUACUUGCAUGUUCCCUGGGGCUUAAUUUCUUUAGUCAUUCUGGGCAUAAGUCCCUGUCCAGGCAAUGCUAUUAGACCUUAUACAGAAACUAGCCUCUCCCUUCAUAUUUUAAAGCACUGUGGGAUCUUGAAAUGAAGCAUGGAAUUUGCAUAUUUUGUCCAUUCUUCCUGAACCAUACAUCUAGGUAUCUUAAGCGAACAAACUAAAAGAAUGUUUUGGUAUGUCCUGUUUAGGAACUUAUUGUCACAAAUGUAUUCACAUUCUCUAAUUGCAUACGAAGAAAAAAUCUUUUCAUUUAGAAAUUUAAGCCUGUAAUCAAUUUUCUAUGAAUGAUUUCAUUUUCCCUCCUUUUCCUUUUUCCUUUACUGAAUUUUAUUUGUAAUUCAUUACUUUCUAUUAAAUUUUGC